UGGGGAAUUUUGUACAAUGGGGGAAACCCUGAUCCAGCCAUCCCGCGUGUGCGAUGAAGGCCUUCGGGUUGUAAAGCACUUUUGGCAGGAAAGAAACGUCAUGGGUUAAUACCCCGUGAAACUGACGGUACCUGCAGAAUAAGCACCGGCUAACUACGUGCCAGCAGCCGCGGUAAUACGUAGGGUGCAAGCGUUAAUCGGAAUUACUGGGCGUAAAGCGUGCGCAGGCGGUUCGGAAAGAAAGAUGUGAAAUCCCAGAGCUCAACUUUGGAACUGCAUUUUUAACUACCGGGCUAGAGUGUGUCAGAGGGAGGUGGAAUUCCGCGUGUAGCAGUGAAAUGCGUAGAUAUGCGGGGGAACACCGAUGGCGAAGGCAGCCUCCUGGGAUAACACUGACGCUCAUGCACGAAAGCGUGGGGAGCAAACAGG
rnacentral:rRNA from 1 species